UGGUGNGGGGUAACGGCCUACCAAGGCGACGAUCAGUAGCCGGCCUGAGAGGGCGGACGGCCACACUGGGACUGAGACACGGCCCAGACUCCUACGGGAGGCAGCAG
rnacentral:rRNA from 1 species